GGAGGGAUAUCGAAGUGGUCAUAACGAGGCGGUCUUGAAAACCGUUUGGGCACCCGCCCACAAGGGUUCGAAUCCCUUUCCCUCCGCCA
rnacentral:tRNA from 1 species